GCUGUAAGUAAGCUUUGAUCCAGAGAUUUCCGAAUGGGGAAACCCAGCAUGAGUUAUGUCAUGUUAUCGAUAUGUGAAUACAUAGCAUAUCAGAAGGCACACCCGGAGAACUGAAACAUCUUAGUACCCGGAGGAAGAAAAAGAAAAUUCGAUUCCCUUAGUAGCGGCGAGCGAAACGGGAAGAGCCCAAACCAACAAGCUUGCUUGUUGGGGUUGUAGGACACUCUAUACGGAGUUACAAAGGACGACAUUAGACGAAUCAUCUGGAAAGAUGAAUCAAAGAAGGUAAUAAUCCUGUAGUCGAAAAUGUUGUCUCUCUUGAGUGGAUCCUGAGUACGACGGAACACGUGAAAUUCCGUCGGAAUCUGGGAGGACCAUCUCCUAAGGCUAAAUACUCUCUAGUGACCGAUAGUGAACCAGUACCGUGAGGGAAAGGUGAAAAGCACCCCGGAAGGGGAGUGAAAUAGAACCUGAAACCGUGUGCUUACAAGUAGUCAGAGCCCGUUAAUGGGUGAUGGCGUGCCUUUUGUAGAAUGAACCGGCGAGUUACGAUUUGAUGCAAGGUUAAGCAGUAAAUGUGGAGCCGUAGCGAAAGCGAGUCUGAAUAGGGCGUUUAGUAUUUGGUCGUAGACCCGAAACCAGGUGAUCUACCCUUGGUCAGGUUGAAGUUCAGGUAACACUGAAUGGAGGACCGAACCGACUUACGUUGAAAAGUGAGCGGAUGAACUGAGGGUAGCGGAGAAAUUCCAAUCGAACCUGGAGAUAGCUGGUUCUCUCCGAAAUAGCUUUAGGGCUAGCCUCAAGUGAUGAUUAUUGGAGGUAGAGCACUGUUUGGACGAGGGGCCCCUCUCGGGUUACCGAAUUCAGACAAACUCCGAAUGCCAAUUAAUUUAACUUGGGAGUCAGAACAUGGGUGAUAAGGUCCGUGUUCGAAAGGGAAACAGCCCAGACCACCAGCUAAGGUCCCAAAAUAUAUGUUAAGUGGAAAAGGAUGUGGCGUUGCCCAGACAACUAGGAUGUUGGCUUAGAAGCAGCCAUCAUUUAAAGAGUGCGUAAUAGCUCACUAGUCGAGUGACACUGCGCCGAAAAUGUACCGGGGCUAAACAUAUUACCGAAGCUGUGGAUUGUCCUUUGGACAAUGGUAGGAGAGCGUUCUAAGGGCGUUGAAGCAUGAUCGUAAGGACAUGUGGAGCGCUUAGAAGUGAGAAUGCCGGUGUGAGUAGCGAAAGACGGGUGAGAAUCCCGUCCACCGAUUGACUAAGGUUUCCAGAGGAAGGCUCGUCCGCUCUGGGUUAGUCGGGUCCUAAGCUGAGGCCGACAGGCGUAGGCGAUGGAUAACAGGUUGAUAUUCCUGUACCACCUAUAAUCGUUUUAAUCGAUGGGGGGACGCAGUAGGAUAGGCGAAGCGUGCGAUUGGAUUGCACGUCUAAGCAGUAAGGCUGAGUAUUAGGCAAAUCCGGUACUCGUUAAGGCUGAGCUGUGAUGGGGAGAAGACAUUGUGUCUUCGAGUCGUUGAUUUCACACUGCCGAGAAAAGCCUCUAGAUAGAAAAUAGGUGCCCGUACCGCAAACCGACACAGGUAGUCAAGAUGAGAAUUCUAAGGUGAGCGAGCGAACUCUCGUUAAGGAACUCGGCAAAAUGACCCCGUAACUUCGGGAGAAGGGGUGCUCUUUAGGGUUAACGCCCAGAAGAGCCGCAGUGAAUAGGCCCAAGCGACUGUUUAUCAAAAACACAGGUCUCUGCUAAACCGUAAGGUGAUGUAUAGGGGCUGACGCCUGCCCGGUGCUGGAAGGUUAAGAGGAGUGGUUAGCUUCUGCGAAGCUACGAAUCGAAGCCCCAGUAAACGGCGGCCGUAACUAUAACGGUCCUAAGGUAGCGAAAUUCCUUGUCGGGUAAGUUCCGACCCGCACGAAAGGCGUAACGAUUUGGGCACUGUCUCAACGAGAGACUCGGUGAAAUCAUAGUACCUGUGAAGAUGCAGGUUACCCGCGACAGGACGGAAAGACCCCGUGGAGCUUUACUGUAGCCUGAUAUUGAAAUUCGGCACAGCUUGUACAGGAUAGGUAGGAGCCUUUGAAACGUGAGCGCUAGCUUACGUGGAGGCGCUGGUGGGAUACUACCCUAGCUGUGUUGGCUUUCUAACCCGCACCACUUAUCGUGGUGGGAGACAGUGUCAGGCGGGCAGUUUGACUGGGGCGGUCGCCUCCUAAAAGGUAACGGAGGCGCUCAAAGGUUCCCUCAGAAUGGUUGGAAAUCAUUCAUAGAGUGUAAAGGCAUAAGGGAGCUUGACUGCGAGACCUACAAGUCGAGCAGGGUCGAAAGACGGACUUAGUGAUCCGGUGGUUCCGCAUGGAAGGGCCAUCGCUCAACGGAUAAAAGCUACCCCGGGGAUAACAGGCUUAUCUCCCCCAAGAGUUCACAUCGACGGGGAGGUUUGGCACCUCGAUGUCGGCUCAUCGCAUCCUGGGGCUGUAGUCGGUCCCAAGGGUUGGGCUGUUCGCCCAUUAAAGCGGUACGCGAGCUGGGUUCAGAACGUCGUGAGACAGUUCGGUCCCUAUCCGUCGUGGGCGUAGGAAAUUUGAGAGGAGCUGUCCUUAGUACGAGAGGACCGGGAUGGACAUACCUCUGGUGUACCAGUUGUCGUGCCAACGGCAUAGCUGGGUAGCUAUGUGUGGACGGGAUAAGUGCUGAAAGCAUCUAAGCAUGAAGCCCCCCUCAAGAUGAGAUUUCCCAACUUCGGUUAUAAGAUCCCUCAAAGAUGAUGAGGUUAAUAGGUUCGAGGUGGAAGCAUGGUGACAUGUGGAGCUGACGAAUACUAAUCGAUCGAAGACUUAAUCAA
rnacentral:rRNA from 1 species